CUGCAAACACCCGCUCUCCAAGCACCUGCUAAGAACCAGGGGUCCUUGGCAGAGGACUCCCCUCGCAGUGGGUGCUCAGAGCCCACUGAUCUUGCCCCUCCGCUGGCCCGGCUAUGGGAACUGGCAGGUGGCAGCGGAGCUGGAACUUAGGAAGGGCAGGAUGUCAGCUUGGAGCCAUGCCGGCUGUCACCAGAGGCCGCCCCUCCCACAGCUAAGCCUUCCCGGGUGUUGUGUCAUGAGCACACACAGUCCGGAGUCUCCGACACCACUUUGUUUCCCCUGCUCUAUCCAUGGGGCCACCUCUCACUUUCCCAAAAGAGAGGGCAGGGUGUCAAGCCGUCUCACAGAUGGCAGAGCAGAUGCCUGACCAUACUCUCGAGCAGCUUCAGAGAAGUAUUUAUGCCCUGAAGUGGUUUCUUCAGGUGACCAGAUGAAGAACACCCAUCUCAGGCAGAGAAUCUCACCGAAAUAGAGAAGAAGCUCAUGCUCCUGGAAGAAACAGCCUGAGGAGAGCCGCUGGGCCACAUCUGGCCACUGUCCACAGCGCUGUCAGAUCCAACGAGAGCCGCUGAGUCACAUCUGGCCACCGUCCGCAGCACUCACAUCUGGCCACCGUCCGCUGCGCUCACAUCUGGCCACCGUCCCCAGCGCUGUCAGAUGCCGACCAAACCCUGCUUUGGUGUUGAGGUGGUUUGUCUAGUAGCCUCCUUUCUUAAGGGAAUUUAAUCUGCUGCAAAUGGUUCUCAUGUAUGCAAUAGAUGUUACUGUAACUGUUUUAUAAGGUGCAUUGCCUUCACCUUGCCAGGCUCUAUGCCAGUCUGUGUCUAGUCUGAUACCAUUCCUGCACACAUACAUCAAUGCCCCAGCAUUUGGAGGGCUGGAGUUAGGAAUAAUCCUGUUGGUGACUUAUUAUUAACUAUUGUAUGGGACUUAUUAUGUAUCUUCAUGUUCUACUGUUCCCACCUCCCAAACCCCAAAAAAGGAUGAGAUCUGUUUUAUAACAAAAACAUUUACGAUAAGGCCUAUACCAUAAAAUAAGUAAUAAAGUUAAUACCAACAAAAAGAGAAGAAGUAUGAAUUACUGCUGUGGUUAGGGUUGACAUUAUUCCUACGAUUGAGCUUCGAAGACUUUUCUAAGCAGUAAUAAACAUGAACCAAGCGUCACACAGUUCCAUUCAUGGUCCUGACCUGAGAGAGCGCUUUCCUAGAUGGACACCCACUCCCUCUCCCAACUGCCCAACUCAUCAGUAAAUGGAGUUUGAUUUAAGCCAAACCUAAUGCAGUAGUUCCCUGUACUUGAGGUUUUUCCUUCUGGGAUUUCAGUUACCUGUGGUCAACGAGAUCCAAAAAUAUUAAAUAGAAAAUUCUAGAGAUAAACAAUUUACAAGUUCUAAACUGCACGCCUUUCUGGUAGCAUGAUAAAAUCUCAUGCUGUCCUGCUCUGUCCCUCAUGGAAUAUGAAUCAUUCCUUGUCCAGCAUAUCUACUCUUCAUAGCAGCAGUCUAGGUUAUCAGAUUGACAGCUCCAAGAAGAAAAGUGAGUUAAGUACAAUAAUAUAUUUGUGAAGAAAGACCAUAUUUAUAUAAGGUUUGUUACAAAACACUAUCAUAAUUGUUCUAUUUUAUUAUUAGUUGUUAUGGUUAAUCUGUUACUGUACCUAAUUUAUAAAUUAAAAUUUAUCAUAGGUAUGUAUAUAUAAGAAAAAACAAACAAACAAACAAAAAAUAUAUAUAUAGGAUUUGGUACUAUCCACAAUUUCAGCUAUUCACUGGGGUCUAGGAAGAUAUUUUUCAUGGAUAAGAAGGGGGCUGGGGUAUAGCAAAAUAAAAUUAAAUAUGCAAAAAUGUCUAAUCAUAUGACUAAAGAAAAUAUACACGACAUUAGAAAAGAUAAAAGGAUCAGUGGUCAUCAUAGCAGCUUCAAAUUUAGAAUGCAUAUUUACAGUUAGUAAUACAUUUAUAGCAAUCUAUUCAUGAUGGGUGGUAAGAAGAGAGUAAACAAUCUUUCAUUGGUAAAUCUUUUCGAGAUAUCUCAUUGCUGAAUACUUUACAUGCUAUCUCAUUGAAUGUUUAUGAGGAUCUCAAGAAGUAGUCAUAUUCCUAAUAGAGAAAAAAAACUUGAGUUUUUUUUUUCUUGCUAUUUCAGUGUUCCUUUUCCUUUGCCAGUCCUCCAAUAGCUGUUCAAUGAAUCUACAUAUUAAAUUUAAGGCUGACUCCAUCUCCUGAAUCACAGUGGUCAUUCUGCCUCUUGGACUGACUCCAUUCUUCAUUUAUUGAGUCCUUGUGGAUAUAGAGCCUCAGCCCUUGUCAUCCCCUAAGGCAAGUGUUGGUCUGAGAAGCGAAACCAAGCUGGCACAGCACUGUAGGCCUGGGAGGGAAAGUGACAUGUGCCUGCAUCCCAAGGAGUGGGGAUGAUGAAAUCAUGAGGGACUCAAUGAGGCUAUCAUUUGGGGUGCCACUGGAACAUUGAUUAGUGAUGAAAGAGGAGAGACCUUUGGCCUCCUGAGAGAAUAAAUCUGGUCCUCAUGGUGUCUCCUUUCCAAGAUCACCUCGUUCUUCCUGUCUUACCCACUUCUCAGCUUGGGUAAAUAUUAAACCCUCCAGUGAAUGGGGCCAUGUGAAAUUUUAGUCUAUCUAUCUCUACAUCACUGAACAUGUUGGACUCCACUAAUCUUAAGCACAAACAUCAUUUUUCCUCUUAUCAAUGAUCUUUUAGCAUUUUAAGCAACUUUUAUAUAACAAUACUUUUAAUAUUUUUUCUGGUAUCUUGUCUCAGUAUCUUCCCAUGUAGAACAACUCUAUGUAUCACAGAACUACUAAAAGCAAUUAAA
rnacentral:lncRNA from 10 species